rnacentral:rRNA from 1 species
AUUGAACGCUGGCGGCAUGCCUUACACAUGCAAGUCGAACGGCAGCACGGGAGCAAUCCUGGUGGCGAGUGGCGAACGGGUGAGUAAUAUAUCGGAACGUGCCCCGUCGUGGGGGAUAACGUAGCGAAAGCUACGCUAAUACCGCAUACGAUCUAUGGAUGAAAGCGGGGGAUCGCAAGACCUAGCGCGAUUGGAGCGGCCGAUAUCAGAUUAGGUAGUUGGUGAGGUAAAGGCUCACCAAGCCGACGAUCUGUAGCUGGGCUGAGAGGACGACCAGCCACACUGGGACGGAGACACGGCCCAGGCUCCUACGGGAGGCAGCAGUGGGGAAUUUUGGACAAUGGGCGCAAGCCUGAUCCAGCAAUGCCGCGUGCAGGAUGAAGGCCUUCGGGUUGUAAACUGCUUUUGUACGGAACGAAACGGCGAGCUCUAAUACAGCUUGCUAAUGACGGUACCGUAAGAAUAAGCACCGGCUAACUACGUGCCAGCCGCCGCCGUAACAC